CGGCCCAGACUCCUACGGGAGGCAGCAGUGGGGAAUAUUGCACAAUGGGGGAAACCCUGAUGCAGCCAUGCCGCGUGUGUGAAGAAGGCCUUCGGGUUGUAAAGCACUUUCAGUAGGGAGGAAAGGUAGCAGCUUAAUACGCUGUUGCUGUGACGUUACCUACAGAAGAAGGACCGGCUAACUCCGUGCCAGCAGCCGCGGUAAUACGGAGGGUCCGAGCGUUAAUCGGAAUUACUGGGCGUAAAGCGUGCGCAGGCGGUUUGUUAAGCGAGAUGUGAAAGCCCCGGGCUCAACCUGGGAAUUGCAUUUCGAACUGGCGAACUAGAGUCUUGUAGAGGGGGGUAGAAUUCCAGGUGUAGCGGUGAAAUGCGUAGAGAUCUGGAGGAAUACCGGUGGCGAAGGCGGCCCCCUGGACAAAGACUGACGCUCAGGCACGAAAGCGUGGGGAGCAAACAGGAUUAGAUACCCUGGUAGUCCACGCCGUAAACGAUGUCUACUCGGAGUUUGGUGUCUUGAACACUGGGCUCUCAAGCUAACGCAUUAAGUAGACCGCCUGGGGAGUACGGCCGCAAGGUUAAAACUCAAAUGAAUUGACGGGGGCCCGCACAAGCGGUGGAGCAUGUGGUUUAAUUCGAUGCAACGCGAAGAACCUUACCUACUCUUGACAUCCACGGAAUUCGCUAGAGAUAGCUUAGUGCCUUCGGGAACCGUGAGACAGGUGCUGCA
rnacentral:rRNA from 1 species